UACGUAGGGCGCAAGCGUUGUCCGGAAUUAUUGGGCGUAAAGAGCUCGUAGGCGGCUUGUCACGUCGGGUGUGAAAGCCCGGGGCUUAACCCCGGGUCUGCAUUCGAUACGGGCAGGCUAGAGUGUGGUAGGGGAGAUCGGAAUUCCUGGUGUAGCGGUGAAAUGCGCAGAUAUCAGGAGGAACACCGGUGGCGAAGGCGGAUCUCUGGGCCAUUACUGACGCUGAGGAGCGAAAGCAUGGGGAGCGAACAGG
rnacentral:rRNA from 1 species